AGAGUUUGAUCCUGGCUCAGGACGAACGCUGGCGGCGUGCCUAAUACAUGCAAGUCGAGCGGACAGAUGGGAGCUUGCUCCCUGAUGUUAGCGGCGGACGGGUGAGUAACACGUGGGUAACCUGCCUGUAAGACUGGGAUAACUCCGGGAAACCGGGGCUAAUACCGGAUGGUUGUUUGAACCGCAUGGUUCAAACAUAAAAGGUGGCUUCGGCUACCACUUACAGAUGGACCCGCGGCGCAUUAGCUAGUUGGUGAGGUAACGGCUCACCAAGGCGACGAUGCGUAGCCGACCUGAGAGGGUGAUCGGCCACACUGGGACUGAGACACGGCCCAGACUCCUACGGGAGGCAGCAGUAGGGAAUCUUCCGCAAUGGACGAAAGUCUGACGGAGCAACGCCGCGUGAGUGAUGAAGGUUUUCGGAUCGUAAAGCUCUGUUGUUAGGGAAGAACAAGUACCGUUCGAAUAGGGCGGUACCUUGACGGUACCUAACCAGAAAGCCACGGCUAACUACGUGCCAGCAGCCGCGGUAAUACGUAGGUGGCAAGCGUUGUCCGGAAUUAUUGGGCGUAAAGGGCUCGCAGGCGGUUUCUUAAGUCUGAUGUGAAAGCCCCCGGCUCAACCGGGGAGGGUCAUUGGAAACUGGGGAACUUGAGUGCAGAAGAGGAGAGUGGAAUUCCACGUGUAGCGGUGAAAUGCGUAGAGAUGUGGAGGAACACCAGUGGCGAAGGCGACUCUCUGGUCUGUAACUGACGCUGAGGAGCGAAAGCGUGGGGAGCGAACAGGAUUAGAUACCCUGGUAGUCCACGCCGUAAACGAUGAGUGCUAAGUGUUAGGGGGUUUCCGCCCCUUAGUGCUGCAGCUAACGCAUUAAGCACUCCGCCUGGGGAGUACGGUCGCAAGACUGAAACUCAAAGGAAUUGACGGGGGCCCGCACAAGCGGUGGAGCAUGUGGUUUAAUUCGAAGCAACGCGAAGAACCUUACCAGGUCUUGACAUCCUCUGACAAUCCUAGAGAUAGGACGUCCCCUUCGGGGGCAGAGUGACAGGUGGUGCAUGGUUGUCGUCAGCUCGUGUCGUGAGAUGUUGGGUUAAGUCCCGCAACGAGCGCAACCCUUGAUCUUAGUUGCCAGCAUUCAGUUGGGCACUCUAAGGUGACUGCCGGUGACAAACCGGAGGAAGGUGGGGAUGACGUCAAAUCAUCAUGCCCCUUAUGACCUGGGCUACACACGUGCUACAAUGGACAGAACAAAGGGCAGCGAAACCGCGAGGUUAAGCCAAUCCCACAAAUCUGUUCUCAGUUCGGAUCGCAGUCUGCAACUCGACUGCGUGAAGCUGGAAUCGCUAGUAAUCGCGGAUCAGCACGCCGCGGUGAAUACGUUCCCGGGCCUUGUACACACCGCCCGUCACACCGCGAGAGUUUGUAACACCCGAAGUCGGUGAGGUAACCUUUUAGGAGCCAGCCGCCGAAGGUGGGACAGAUGAUUGGGGUGAAGUCGUAACAAGGUAGCCGUAUCGGAAGGUGCGGCUG
rnacentral:rRNA from 1 species